rnacentral:rRNA from 1 species
UACGGAAGGGGCAAGCGUUGUUCGGAAUCAUUGGGCGUAAAGAGCGUGUAGGCGGCUUGGAAGGUCAGCUGUGAAAACUCGAGGCUCAACCUCGAGACGUCGGUUGAAACCACCUGGCUAGAGUCCGGAAGAGGAGAGUGGAAUUCCCGGUGUAGCGGUGAAAUGCGCAGAUAUCGGGAAGAACACCCGUGGCGAAGGCGGCUCUCUGGGACGGUACUGACGCUGAGACGCGAAAGCGUGGGGAGCGAACAGG